CAAAAUAAAUACUGCUUUAUUGUGCAGAAUACAAAAAUGUCGACAUUUCAGUCACAAUAGACUUUUCUCAAGACCUUGAGAAAAGUCUAUUGUGACUGAAACGUCGACAUUUUUGUAUUCUGCACAAUAAAGCAGUAUUUAUUUUGAUAUAAAACGAAGACUCCAGAGUGCUCUCUACUU
rnacentral:sRNA from 1 species